UUCUCUAAGGAAGGUCAAAUUUUCUUCUCUUUGAAGCCUUUCAGGCUCCCAAGCCAGUUUGCAUACUGAGCUUCCCAGAACUAUUUUCAACUACCUGGAGCAGUUGAGCAUGAAGAACACCAUUCUCGAUGUCUUUAGCUACAAAUUGCCGGUCCGAGGCGGAGCGUGAGAUCCAGCGUCGCCGUCAAGCUCCCAGAUGUCUUCUCCAACUGCUCGCAAGGGCACACUUCCACAGGUAUGUAUUACGGCAACAUUUGCUUGGAUGUGGAUAUGAAGCUUGAUGGGUGCUGUUCCUGAAGCUGGAAAACUGGUUGACAGAAUAAUAAAGGAGCAGCUUUUGUUACAGCGGAAGCCAGCAAUGUCUGCAUUCAUUGGGAGACCCACUUUUUUUGGUAGAAGAACACGAGUGUGCUCGACACACGUGAAGUGAAAUGGAGAAUGUGUACGAACCUGGCAAAGAAAGGACUUGAUCCAAAGGCCUCGCUUGAGCAACUCACCCAUCCCAUGGACUCUUUGUUCACCCGUUUGGGAAAAUUCCCAAAGUAUGCGUUGCUUUCUUUUACUUAUUUUUUCGCUUUCCUUGUCACUCUCCACCCCAACCAGUGGAACACUCUCAAAACAAUUUCAUUAUCUUAAGUGAAGAAAUAAAACCAAGUGUCAGAGAAAAUCUCCUUUUAAUAAGAUGAUAACUUUGCUUAUUCAAUAGAGCCUGAAUUCUAUAGAAGAAAAAGAU